GUCUUUUUGAGUUAUUUUUAAAGUCUGACCUGCCCACUGAAAUUAUUUAAAUGGCCGCAGUAUUCUAACUGUGCAAAGGUAGCAUAAUCAUUAGUCUUUUAAUUGAAGGCUGGUAUGAACGGUUGGACGAGGUAUAAGCUGUUUCAUAUAAAUUUAUAAUAGAAUUUUAUAUUUUAGUCAAAAAGCUAAAAUUUAAUUAAAAGACGAGAAGACCCUAUAAAUCUUUAUACUUUAUGUUGUUUAAAUUUUUUAGAUUUAUUUUGUUUUUAUAAUUUAAAGUAUUUUGUUGGGGUGAUAUUAAAAUUUAAUGAACUUUUAAUUAUUAAAAAUCAUUAAUUUAUGAAUUAUUGAUCCAUUAAUAGUGAUUAUAAGAUUAAGUUACUUUAGGGAUAACAGCGUAAUUUUUUUGGAGAGUUCAUAUCGAUAAAAAAGUUUGCGACCUCGAUGUUGGAUUAAGAUAUAUUUUUAGGUGUAGCCGCUUAAAUGUUAAGUCUGUUCGACUUUUAAAUUCUU
rnacentral:rRNA from 1 species